rnacentral:rRNA from 1 species
GACGAACGCUGGCGGCGUGCUUAACACAUGCAAGUCGAACGGAAAGGCCCUGCUUUUGUGGGGUGCUCGAGUGGCGAACGGGUGAGUAACACGUGAGUAACCUGCCCUUGACUUUGGGAUAACUUCAGGAAACUGGGGCUAAUACCGGAUAGGAGCUCCUGCUGCAUGGUGGGGGUUGGAAAGUUUCGGCGGUUGGGGAUGGACUCGCGGCUUAUCAGCUUGUUGGUGGGGUAGUGGCGUACCAAGGCUUUGACGGGUAGCCCGCCUGAGAGGGUGACCGGCCACAUUGGGACUGAGAUACGGCCCAGACUCCUACGGGAGGCAGCAGUGGGGAAUAUUGCACAAUGGGCGGAAGCCUGAUGCAGCAACGCCGCGUGCGGGAUGACGGCCUUCGGGUUGUAAACCGCUUUCGCCUGUGACGAAGCGUGAGUGACGGUAAUGGGUAAAGAAGCACCGGCUAACUACGUG